rnacentral:lncRNA from 1 species
UCAGCGACAGCAUUCGAAGAGCGGCGCCAUCGCACGCGCCCGUCAAACUGCCAUCGCUGAUUUUUGCUAUCUGUCCCGUAUUGUGCAAAAUUUGCUGUUGGUCUAGUCGAGGGUUCCGUGAUUGCGGUCGGCGCAUCCUUUUGCGAGCCAUGGCGUCGAAGUGCCUGGUUAUGUACGGCGACAGUAAUGUCGUCGUGACUUUCGACGAACCUUGCAGCCGGCAGGACCUCCUAAGCCAACUUUCAAAGAAUGGAAUAUUCAAGGAUGUCGACGUCUGCGCCCUUGGAUUAACGAUCUUUGACGAGGACUUUGACAGCUUUGUUGAAAUAACAGAGGACUCCGCUAUCCACAAUAAGGCUAGAAUUAAAGUCAAGGAGACGAACCAAGUAAGGUGAGUGUUGCAUCAAUGCACAUGUUUGGUAUUUAAGUCUUCAUUUUAGAUUGUGUCAAAGAAGCUUUUUAUUUCAUUCGGUUGUCACAUCUAAAAUUUAGAAAGUUAUCCAAAAGCACUGCACAAUGUCCUUCCUUUUUUCUCCCAUCAAUUGUACUGCAGGAUAGCAGAUGUCCUCGAAAAAGGACCACCACAACAGGCACGCCCCGGUCACGUAUACAUGCUGCCAACUGCGCCACAAGAUAUAUCCAUGAGCAUUGAAAGACACAGGGCUGGGCAGUACUUCAAAAACAGGCGGCGGGUGCUACAAUGGUUAUACCAUGAUUUGUGUCUGCAAACAAUGUACCCUGGGAAACUGUAUGCAGAGGCAGCCCAAGCCCUCAUAGCCAAGUUUCCAAACU